UGAGCCCUGGAGGACAGGAGGAAGCCAGAGUUCUCUGAACAGCUUUCUCACAGUGGAAGUCACAGUGACCCUUCCAUCCCGAGCAGGCUGCGAAAACUACCUCGGCCCAGCAAUGAAGAGCCAGGAGGGAGUGCCCGUACGGCCAUAUGAGGAACAGAGAGACCAAACAGGGAAAGUUACAACUCAGGUUCAUCUUCCUGAAUGGGAUACAACCGUGUAAAGAACAAGUAAAACAUGGAGUCUGACUAUGUUGUCUCUACUGCCCAGGCUAACUCAAACUGAUUUUCCUGCUCCAGCCUCCCGAGUGUAUAGGACUACAGGUGUGCACCACCAGGCCCAGCCACAUUCUUAAGGAAGUCAAAAUUGAAACUGAACAUGUCACACAGGGCCAAGGAUGGGAAGCCUCAGCUCCCCACGCAGCAGCCAUUGAAGUGGCAGCUGGUGAAGAGGGUGGUCUGCAUGCUGCUAGAGGCCCCUAAGGGAGAAGCCAGUGGAGACCCACCACGUCUUCUAUGUCAACGGACCGACUUUUGCUGUUUUAGAAUAUAAGUUCUUCCCCUCUAAAUAAUCUGGCCUUAAAACAAAACCAGAAAGCUACUGGCUGUGGAGACAGCCACCACCGGGGACGAUUGUUAGCAGCUCCCAAAUGCUUUAACAGUUAAGAGCAGCUGUAGCAAAGCAACUGUUUGUCGCUUAUAAAAACAAACCAAAUCAAGAUGGAAAAACAAAAAGCUCAGCUUUUCCACACCACAUGUGACUACAGGAUGUUUCUGAUGCGGUUGCAGCCAAGCCACGUAUGCCUGCAAGAGGAGGUGAACUGGAGCCUUUUCCCAAUAAUCUUUCCUCUCAACUGAAGCAUGAAGGUGGGAGAUCAUUUCACCACACCCAAAGGCACUCACCUUCCGAGUACAAAGGACUCCAGUGGUCUUCAUAUACGAAUACACAGCAUGUAGCUUCAAAUUAUACCGACAUAUGUUUGGCUAUAAAGGUUAACACAUCUUUCUUUCAAAACUGUUCUUAGCUUAGAAAAUGGGAGUCAGAAGUUACUUAUACAGAAAGCUCUGGAACAUAGCAUUGUAAAAACAGGAGAUUCACACAUAAAAAAUCCUAAUUGAAGGUAAUUCUGCUUUGAGGUCUUUGGUUAUAUUAAACACCAUCUUACGAUUUCAUGUGCUAACUUCCUUCAGAAAGAGUUAUGAUAG